rnacentral:rRNA from 1 species
UACGUAGGGGGCUAGCGUUGUCCGGAUUUAUUGGGCGUAAAGAGCGUGUAGGCGGCUCGAUAAGUCUGCUGUGAAAAGUCCAGGGCUCAACCCUGGAAGGCCGGUGGAAACUGUCGGGCUAGAGUCCGGAAGAGGCGAGUGGAAUUCCCGGUGUAGCGGUGAAAUGCGCAGAUAUCGGGAGGAACACCAAUGGCGAAGGCAGCUCGCUGGGACGGUACUGACGCUGAGACGCGAAAGCGUGGGGAGCAAACAGG